rnacentral:rRNA from 1 species
GAUGAACGCUGGCGGCGUGCUUAACACAUGCAAGUCGAACGAAGCUGUUAAAAGGAAGUCUUCGGAUGGAAUUUUAACAGACUUAGUGGCGGACGGGUGAGUAACGCGUGGAUAACCUGCCUUAUACAGGGGGAUAACGGAGAGAAAUUUCCGCUAAGACCGCAUAAGACCACAGCACCGCAUGGUGCAGGGGUAAAAUAUUAAUAGGUAUAAGAUGGAUCCGCGUCCGAUUAGCUGGUUGGUGAGGUAGAGGCUCACCAAGGCGACGAUCGGUAGCCGGCCUGAGAGGGUGAACGGCCACAUUGGGACUGAGACACGGCCCAAACUCCUACGGGAGGCAGCAGUGGGGAAUAUUGGACAAUGGGGGAAACCCUGAUCCAGCGACGCCGCGUGAGUGAAGAAGUAUUUCGGUAUGUAAAGCUCUAUCAGCAGGGAAGAA